rfam:Marinobacterium sp. AK27 ATG5_contig_1, whole genome shotgun sequence.
CGCCGGUCCUCUCGCAACGAUAAACCGUGAACCUGGUCAGGCCCGGAAGGGAGCAGCCACAGCGGUCGACUCGUGUGCCGGGAUGUCGGCUGGUGGAG